AAACUUACCUGGUGCCGGGGCCUCGUUGAUCACCGAAGACGAGCCCCCAGGGCCGGGCGGGGGCACAGCACGGCGCUCGCGUUGACACUUCCCACUACCCCAAACAGGGGCCGAUGGGGCAUGCAAAAUGC
rnacentral:snRNA from 1 species